rnacentral:lncRNA from 1 species
UCAUCUCAAAUCUCUAUUCAUAUCAUCUCUCUACAACAAUCUUUUGUGAGAUAUCCACAACCAUCUCUAAAAAGAGAGACCUAAGAACAUAAUUGCCAAAGAGUUUUACGUUGCCCUUCGCAGGCACCAUGCAUCAAUCACCGUGCGUCUCGGCGACCUCCGCCACCGCCGUCGACGGCCAUUACCGGAGAAUCCGAGAGAAGGUCUCCGAAUUCCGACGAGGAGAGAGAGAGAAAGAGGACGUACUCCCCACAAGAAGAGAUGAGAAAUUGAGUGCUAAGCUUUAAUGGUGGGGUGUGUCUUUUGUAGCCUAAGUUUGAAGGGAUCUUCUCCGUAUAUGCUUCAUGCACAUCUGUUUUGCUUUUUCCAUUUUAGCUUUUGCUGCAUUAUUGGCCAUGGCAAUUGUGGGAUAUGCAUCAGCUUUUCGUUUCUUUAUUAAGCUUUUUAUUUAUCUAUUCAUAAGUGGUUUGCACCUUUUUUGAUUGGUUGAGUGGAGUAAUUAAUUAGCUUUGAUGACUCAAGUAGUGAUUAAAAGCAUUAAAACUAUGUUAAUCUCUUUAAAUGGAUAAAUCUCAAUCGUUGGACACUUAUAUUUGUAUAAUAGUUCACAUAUUAUUCGCAUAUAAAGUGGUAUACUUUAAUUCGGAGACACUUAUUAUUCAUAUAUUUAUGCAUAUCAGAUUUAUUCUGAGUUGAUGUGCAUACAUAAAUAACAAUCUUAAAUGUCCAUUUUAAGGAGUGUGUCAUUAAGAUGAUCGUGACUUAUGAUAAUCUCAAAGCCAAUCUGAUCAAUGGGCGAGAGAAACUUGAGGCGCAAAUUAUUGCUCCUUUGAAAUUAUUUUAGCUCAAAAAAUUGACUAGUUUCCGAGUAAAAUAU